GGCCCCUCAGCAACGCUGUGCGCAAGCGUAUGGAAGUGGGAGUAUCGCCAAUCAGGGCGAAGGUGCGCACCAAAGAACGAAAACUGGUCUUUUCGCAGUUAUGGUCUCUCGUGACGGCAACAAUAUAUAGAUGCUAUACAAAGGUUCGCAGAGCCGGUCUCUUUGCAAGUUGCGAAGUCUGAAUAGGCCUUGGACAUCCGAAUCUACUAAUGAACUGGUCAGCCAAUGCCAAGGGCAACAGUCACUGUAUUUGUGCUCUGCAAUGGAAUCGCGUCUGAAUAUUUAGUGAGGAUAUCCUGUAAGGAUCCAACCCGUUCGUUUCGGAAUCAGUAACUGGUAACUCAUCUGCGCAAACAAGCACCCCUUCCUGACGCCCCGAACCGGAAUUGGAAUCCGUGCCAGUCCUGACGAUUUGAGACUUGGGAUCAGGGAUAGUUUCAAGAUCGAUGAGAUUACGUGAGAGUGCAUUAGCAUUUGAAUUAACUCUACCAGGUUUGUACACGAUGUUAUAAUUAUAUUCGUUUAAUCUAAUUCGCCAUCUCAUAAUUUUCGAAGUUGGAUCCUUAAUAUUAUGUAACCAUACUAGGGGACGAUUAUCAGUUAUCAAAGUGAACUGCUGACCAUAUAAAUAAGAUCGAAAAUGCUCUACACCAAAUAAGACUGCCAGAAGUUCCUUUUCAAUUUCUGGGAUUUAUUACUUGCACUAAUCGAAACCUACCUGUAGAUAUAUAAUAACUAUUGUUAUUGCAAACUCCUAUUCUUUAGCGCUACCCUGCAAGGAAUGUACCGAUCGCUAUAAAACCUUUCGCAUCUAAUCGGAGAUAUUUUCGCGAUGAUCCCAAUUGUAAAAAUUUGUGGAAUUUGUUAUUGUUAAUAACUAUUGUUAUAGCAAGAAACCUAUUCGCUGGUGUUACUCUACAAGGAAUAUACCGAUCGCGAUGAAAGCUUU